rnacentral:rRNA from 1 species
UACGUAGGGUGCAAGCGUUGUCCGGAAUUAUUGGGCGUAAAGAGCUCGUAGGCGGUUUGUCGCGUCUGCUGUGAAAACCCGAGGCUCAACCUCGGGCCUGCAGUGGGUACGGGCAGACUAGAGUGCGGUAGGGGAGAUUGGAAUUCCUGGUGUAGCGGUGGAAUGCGCAGAUAUCAGGAGGAACACCGGUGGCGAAGGCGGUUCUCUGGGAAUAUCCUGACGCUGAGGAGCGAAAGUGUGGGGGAGCGAACAGG